rnacentral:sRNA from 1 species
UUUGGACCAUUUCUCUU